GAUGAACGCUGGCGGCGUGCCUAAUACAUGCAAGUCGAGCGAACGGACGAGAAGCUUGCUUUUCUGAUGUUAGCGGCGGACGGGUGAGUAACACGUGGAUAACCUACCUAUAAGACUGGUAUAACUUCGGGAAACCGGAGCUAAUACCGGAUAAUAUUUUGAACCGCAUGGUUCAAAAGUGAAAGACGGUCUUGCUGUCACUUAUAGAUGGAUCCGCGCUGCAUUAGCUAGUUGGUAAGGUAACGGCUUACCAAGGCAACGAUGCAUAGCCGACCUGAGAGGGUGAUAGGCCACACUGGAACUGAGACACGGUCAAGACUCCUACGGGAGGCAGCAGUAGGGAAUCUUCCGCAAUGGGCGAAAGCCUGACGGAGCAACGCCGAGUGAGUGAUGAAGGUCUUCGGAUCGUAAAACUCUGUUAUUAGGGAAGAACAUAUGUGUAAGUAACUGUGCACAUCUUGACGGUACCUAAUCAGAAAGCCACGGCUAACUACGUG
rnacentral:rRNA from 1 species